UACAGAGGUCUCAAGCGUUGUUCGGAUUCAUUGGGCGUAAAGCGUGCGUAGACGGUUAUGUAAGUCGGGUGUGAAAGCCCGGGGCUCAACCCCGGGAGGCGGGUGGAUACUGUCAAGCUCGAGUCCGGAAGAGGAGUGUGGAAUUCCUGGUGUAGCGGUGAAAUGCGCAGAUAUCAGGAGGAACACCAAUGGCGAAGGCAGCACUCUGGGACGUGACUGACGCUGAGACGCGAAAGCGUGGGGGGCAAACAGG
rnacentral:rRNA from 1 species